UUCUUCAUGGACUCGUUCUUCUUCCUAGCGGGAUCUCAGGCAAGAUGACCAUACCCUCGAAAUCACUUCUAUCUUUGCUUGCUAGUUGUUCGCUCUAUUGCUAUGCAGCGCUACCUACCACUUGCUAUUUCAUGCCUCCCAUAUUGCCAUGAACCUCUAACCUUUGUCACCCUUCCUAGCAAACCGUUGUUUGGCUAUGUUACCGCUUUUGCUCAGCCCCUCUUAUAGCGUUGCUAGUUGCAGGUGAAGAUGAAGAUUGCUCCAUGUUGGAUUAUGUUUAUGUUGGGAUAUCACAAUAUCUCUUAUAUUAUUAAUGCAUCUAUAUACUUGGUAAAGGGUGGAAGGCUUGGCCUUAUGCCUGGUGUUUUGUUCCACUCUUGCCGCCCCUAGUUUCCGUCAUACCGGUGUUAUGUUCCUUGAUUUUGCGUUCCUUACGCGGUUGGGUGAUUUAUGGGACCCCCCUUGACAGUUCGCUUUGAAUAAAACUCCUCCAGCAAGGCCCAACCUUGGUUUUACCAUUUGCCUACCUAAGCCUUUUUCCCUUGGGUUCUGCAGACUCAAGGGUCAUCUUUAUUUUAAACCCCCGGGCCAGUGCUCCUCUGAGUGCUGGUCCAAACUAGAGCCACUUGCAGCGCCACCUCGGGGAAACUCGAGGUCUGGUUUUAGUUGUACGUAGUGUUCAUCCGGUGUGCCCUGAGAACGAGAUAUGUGCAGCUCCUAUCGGGAUUUGUCGGCACAUACGGGCGGCUUUGCUGGUCUUGUUUUACCAUCGUCGAAAUGUCUUGUAAACCGGGAUUCCGAGACUGAUCGGGUCUUCCUGGGAGAAGGAAUAUCCUUCGUUGACCGUGAGAGCUUAUAAUGGGCUAAGUUGGGACACCCCUGCAGGGUAUUAUCUUUCGAAAGCCGUGCCCGCGGUUAUGUGGCAGAUGGGAAUUUGUUAACGUCCGGUUGUAGAGAACUUGACACUUGACCUUAAUUAAAAUACAUCAACCGCGUGUGUAGCCGUGAUGGUCUCUUCUCGGCGGAGUCCGGGAAGUGAACACGGUUUCCGGGUUAAGUUUGACGUAAGUAGGUGUUCAGGAUCACUUCUUGAUCAUUGCUAGUUCACGAUCGUUCCGUUGCUUCUCUUCUCGCUCUCAUUUGCUUAUGUUAGCCACCAUAUAUGCUAGUGCUUGCUGCAGCUCCACCUCACCACCUUCUCCUUUCCUAUAAGCUUAAAUAGUCUUGAUCUCGCGGGUGUGAGAUUGCUGAGUCCUCGUGACUCACAGAUACUUCCAAACAGUUGCAGGUGCCGAUGAGACCAGUGCAGAUGACGCAACUGAGCUCAAGUGGGAGCUUGAUGAAGAUCUUGUUCAUUGUGUUGUUUCUUUUCAUUUGAUCAGUAGUGGUGCCCAGUUGGGACGAUCAGGGAUCUAGCAGUUGGGUUGUCUUCUUUUCUUUUGGUUCCGUAGUCGGACCUAUGUGUGUACCCUGAUUUAUGUAUGAUUUAUUUAUGUAUUGUGUGAAGUGGCGAUUGUAAGCCAACUCUUUAUCCCAUUCUUG
rnacentral:lncRNA from 1 species